GUUUGAUCCUGGCUCAGGACGAACGCUGGCGGCGUGCUUAACACAUGCAAGUCGAGCGGUAAGGCCCCUUCGGGGGUACACGAGCGGCGAACGGGUGAGUAACACGUGAGCAAUCUGCCCUUCACUUUGGGAUAACCACCGGAAACGGUGGCUAAUACCGGAUACGACCAGUCUCUGCAUGGGGUGCUGGUGGAAAGUUCUGGCGGUGGAGGAUGAGCUCGCGGCCUAUCAGCUUGUUGGUGGGGUAAUGGCCUACCAAGGCGACGACGGGUAGCCGGCCUGAGAGGGUGACCGGCCACACUGGGACUGAGACACGGCCCAGACUCCUACGGGAGGCAGCAGUGGGGAAUAUUGGACAAUGGGCGAAAGCCUGAUCCAGCAACGCCGCGUGAGGGAUGACGGCCUUCGGGUUGUAAACCUCUUUCAGCAGGGACGAAGCGCAAGUGACGGUACCUGCAGAAGAAGCACCGGCCAACUACGUGCCAGCAGCCGCGGUAAUACGUAGGGUGCGAGCGUUGUCCGGAAUUAUUGGGCGUAAAGGGCUCGUAGGCGGUUUGUCACGUCGGGAGUGAAAACUCGGGGCUUAACCCCGAGCCUGCUUCCGAUACGGGCUGACUAGAGGUAUGCAGGGGAGAACGGAAUUCCUGGUGUAGCGGUGAAAUGCGCAGAUAUCAGGAGGAACACCGGUGGCGAAGGCGGUUCUCUGGGCAUUACCUGACGCUGAGGAGCGAAAGUGUGGGGAGCGAACAGGAUUAGAUACCCUGGUAGUCCACACCGUAAACGUUGGGCGCUAGGUGUGGGACUCAUUCCACGAGUUCCGUGCCGCAGCUAACGCAUUAAGCGCCCCGCCUGGGGAGUACGGCCGCAAGGCUAAAACUCAAAGGAAUUGACGG
rnacentral:rRNA from 1 species